CCCGCAACGAGCGCAACCCUUAUCCUUUGUUGCCAGCGGUUAGGCCGGGAACUCAAAGGAGACUGCCAGUGAUAAACUGGAGGAAGGUGGGGAUGACGUCAAGUCAUCAUGGCCCUUACGACCAGGGCUACACACGUGCUACAAUGGCGCAUACAAAGAGAAGCGACCUCGCGAGAGCAAGCGGACCUCAUAAAGUGCGUCGUAGUCCGGAUUGGAGUCUGCAACUCGACUCCAUGAAGUCGGAAUCGCUAGUAAUCGUGGAUCAGAAUGCCACGGUGAAUACGUUCCCGGGCCUUGUACACACCGCCCGUCACACCAUGGGAGUGGGUUGCAAAAGAAGUAGGUAGCUUAACCUUCGGGAGGGCGCUUACCACUUUGUGAUUCAUGACUGGGGUGAAGUCGUAACAAGGUAACCGUAGGGGAACCUGCGGUUGGA
rnacentral:rRNA from 1 species